rnacentral:rRNA from 1 species
CUACGGGACGCAGCAGUGGGGAAUAUUGCACAAUGGACGAAAGUCUGAUGCAGCAACGCCGCGUGGAGGAUGACACAUUUCGGUGCGUAAACUCCUUUUAUAUGAGAAGAUAAUGACGGUAUCAUAUGAAUAAGCACCGGCUAACUCCGUGCCAGCAGCCGCGGUAAUACGGGGGGUGCAAGCGUUACUCGGAAUCACUGGGCGUAAAGAGCAUGUAGGUGGAUUAAUAAGUUGGAAGUGAAAUCCUAUAGCUUAACUAUAGAACUGCUUCCAAAACUGUUGAUCUAGAAUGUGGGAGAGGUAGAUGGAAUUUCUGGUGUAGGGGUAAAAUCCGUAGAGAUCAGAAGGAAUACCGAUUGCGAAGGCGAUCUACUAGAACAUUAUUGACGCUGAGACGCGAAAGCGUGGGGAGCAAACAGGAUUAGAUACCCCCGUAGUC